GGCGAACGGGUGAGUAACGCGUGAGCAAUCUACCUUAGUUACAGGGUAUAGCCCGAGGAAACUCGGAUUAAUACCUGAUAUUCUUUAUUUCUCGCAUGAGAAUAAAAGGAAAGGUCAGCCGAACUAAGAUGAGCUCGCGUUCUAUCAGCUAGUCGGUGAGGUAAAAGCUUACCAAGGCUACGACGGAUAGCUGGUCUGAGAGGACGAUCAGCCACACUGGGACUGAGACACGGCCCAGACUCCUACGGGAGGCUGCAGCAGGGAAUAUUGUGCAAUGAACGAAAGUUUGACACAGCGACACCGCGUGUGGGAUGACGGAUCUAGGGUCGUAAAGCUCUUUCGCCUGUGAUGAUAAUGACAGUAGCAGGUAAAGAAACCCCGGCUAACUCCGUGCCAGCAGCCGCGGUAAUACGGAGGGGGUUAGCGUUGUUCGGAAUUACUGGGCGUAAAGCGCGC
rnacentral:rRNA from 1 species